CUGCGAAUGGCUCAUUACAACACGACAUGUAAUUUUCGCAUGUGCUUCAUCACACAUGGAUAACUGUUGGAAAAUCUAGGGCUAAUACAUGCGGCACACCUGACUUCGGGGAAAGGUUGCUAUCAUGAGUCAUAGAAUCGGCGCAGGCUCUGCCUUGCUAUCGAGGUGAGUCAUGAUAAUUUAGCUGAUCGCAUUGCUUCAGCUGGUGAUGAACUGCACAAGUUUCAGACCUAUCACCUUCCGACGCUUGGGUAUUGGCCUACUGUGGCAAUGACGGGUGACGGAGAAUUAGGGUUCGAUUCCCGAGAGGGAGCCUGACACAUGGNUACCACAUCUAAGGAAGGCAGCAAGCGCGCAAAUUACCCAAUCCUGACACGGGGAGGUAGUGACAAGCAAUAACNAUACNGGGCAUCCAUGUCUUGUAAUUGGAAUGAGCUAACUCCUAACAUGUUGGUNAGUAUCAAUU
rnacentral:rRNA from 1 species